rnacentral:rRNA from 1 species
GAUGAACGCUGGCGGCGUGCCUAAUACAUGCAAGUCGAGCGAACAGACGAGGAGCUUGCUCCUCUGACGUUAGCGGCGGACGGGUGAGUAACACGUGGAUAACCUACCUAUAAGACUGGGAUAACUUCGGGAAACCGGAGCUAAUACCGGAUAAUAUAUUGAACCGCAUGGUUCAAUAGUGAAAGACGGUUUUGCUGUCACUUAUAGAUGGAUCCGCGCCGCAUUAGCUAGUUGGUAAGGUAACGGCUUACCAAGGCGACGAUGCGUAGCCGACCUGAGAGGGUGAUCGGCCACACUGAAACUGAGACACGGUCCAGACUCCUACGGGAGGCAGCAGUAGGGAAUCUUCCGCAAUGGGCGAAAGCUUGACGGAGCAACGCCGCGUGAGUGAUGAAGGUCUUCGGAUCGGAAAACUCUGUUAUUAGGGAAGAACAAAUGUGUAAGUAACUAUGCACGUCUUGACGGUACCUAAUCAGAAAGCCACGGCUAACUACGUG